UCAGAUUGUAAUCAACCUGGCUCUGAUACCAUAUGACUUUUAGGAAUAUAAAGAUUAAUCUGAGUUUAGAAUAGGAUUAAGGAAGAGAAUAAGAGAUUUAGGAAACUGAUUAGAGAUUAAUGGAGAAUCAUGAUGAAAUGAGUAAAGAGAAAGAUUGUUUAGAACUGUCUAAUCUUUAUUAAUGAUCUUGAGUCACAAUAUAUAGUGAGGUAAGCUUAGGGUUUUCGAUUACAAAGGAUAAGGAAAGCAUGUGAAGUCAAAAGGAGGAGGAGCCUAUAUUUGAAUCCGGCCAAUGAGCUUCUCUAAGUGUGUGAGGCAUCUAGCAUCUUCCCAUAGAUGCUGUUUACUUUCCAGUCCAUGCCAGACUGUCAGCGCGCCUCAUCCCUUCUUCCUU
rnacentral:lncRNA from 1 species